rnacentral:rRNA from 1 species
AUUGAACGCUGGCGGCAGGCCUAACACAUGCGAGUCGAACGGUAACAGAAAGCAGCUUGCUGCUUUGCUGACGAGUGGCGGACGGGUGAGUAAUGUCUGGGAAACUGCCUGAUGGAGGGGGAUAACUACUGGAAACGGUAGCUAAUACCGCAUAACGUCGCAAGACCAAAGAGGGGGACCUUCGGGCCUCUUGCCAUCGGAUGUGCCCAGAUGGGAUUAGCUAGUAGGUGGGGUAACGGCUCACCUAGGCGACGAUCCCUAGCUGGUCUGAGAGGAUGACCAGCCACACUGGAACUGAGACACGGUCCAGACUCCUACGGGAGGCAGCAGUGGGGAAUAUUGCACAAUGGGCGCAAGCCUGAUGCAGCCAUGCCGCGUGUAUGAAGAAGGCCUUCGGGUUGUAAAGUACUUUCAGCGGGGAGGAAGGGAGUAAAGUUAAUACCUUUGCUCAUUGACGUUACCCGCAGAAGAAGCACCGGCUAACUCCGU